rnacentral:rRNA from 1 species
AUACGGAGGAUCCGAGCGUUAUCCGGAUUUAUUGGGUUUAAAGGGUGCGCAGGCGGCCAUUUAAGUCAGCGGUUAAAUCGUGGGGCUCAACCCCAUUCUGCCGUUGAUACUGGGUGGCUUGAUUGCGGUCGAGGUUGGCGGAAUUCGCCGUGUAGCGGUGAAAUGCAUAGAUAUGACGAAGAACACCGAUUGCGUAGGCAGCUGACCAGACCGCAAAUGACGCUCAUGCACGAAAGUGCGGGGAUCGAACAGGAUUAGAUACCCUGGUAGUCCGCACAGUAAACGAUGAAUACUUGUUUUCGGCGAUAUAAUGUCGGAGGCAAAGCGAAAGCGAUAAGUAUUCCACCUGGGGAGUACGCCGGCAACGGUGAAACUUAAAGGAAUUGACGGGG